AGAGAGGUGCUCGAGUGGUUGAAGAGGCUACCCUGGAAAGGUAGUAUACGGGUAACCGUAUCGAGGGUUCGAAUCCCUUCCUCUCUGCUA
rnacentral:tRNA from 1 species